AUAAAUAUCUUUUUUUCUUUAGUGAAAAGAAAAAAAUUCAAAAGCUAUAGGGACUAGUAGUGGGGUGGGGGUGGGGGUGCCUCAUGGGAGACUUUCAAGAGAAGAAGUUACUACUGAGCCCUAGCUUUUUGUUGUCACUAGCAAGUUCAGUGGAACUGGCAUUUCAUUUAUCAAGGGAAGUCUAGAGUUUUUUGUAAAGAUCGAAUUUAUAAAUGUUGGCUUCACUAUAUUAAAAUCCUACUUGGGACAAUAAUAACCACCUGUGGGCUGGAGCCAGCCUGUGACUAACAUUUAUCAACUUCUGGCCUAGUGAGUCUCCUAUCAGUCUCUUACUGUUCUGCUUCUGGGUGCUUUCCAUCCAUUCUAUUUAUCUGACACUUAAAUUCCUUCUUUUGUUAGCAUAGUUACCACUCAUGUAUUUUCCUGCAGUUGCAUGUGAUGGAAAAACCCUUUGUACUUACUUUCCACAUGAGGCUUGUGAGGCACUUCCAGACUUCUCAUGAUACACAUUUCUCCAGAGCCAAGUUCAGAUGGGACAUUCUUGGGAGCCUCAGUAAAAUUGUUUAUUGGUAAUUUGGUGGGCAGGAGGCUCACCUGAAAUGUCAUCAUUUGUAAUGCUCAUUCCUACCUUCCCACUGCCAUGAUAUACUGAGAACAACAACCCCUUCGUUCUUCUGUGCCAUGUCCUCCUUUUCCCAGUACCAUCAUCACUCUCUGCUCUUUUUAGAAUUAGAUGCAAGGCUUGCUUCAGAGGAGAUGGAACUGCAAUAGCUUGAGUGAAAUAUGAUCUGGGACAUAGGUGUCCUGACCCUUAAAACAAGGGUAUGGGCAAAACCCCAGGAUAUGGCCCCAACCUUUGAGCUAAUAGACCCCUUUCUCUAAGAGGAAUGGCCUAGCUGCUGUGUUCCAGGAGAUGGUGAGGGUGGGCAUCUGUAUAGAACCUUGGGUUGGCGCCUGUGCCUCCCAGUUCUUCUUGUACCUUAUUUUUUUAGUCUUAAAAAUUCUUUAUUAUGUUGGGAAACUGAGUAGUAACUAUAUUUUUUUACAUAUAUUUAUUCACCAUCUAUGCUUGACUGUCACACAGAAGUAGUCAUACGUAGAUUCUAAAAUUUACUUUCAGGCCAACUUUAAACUUUAUUUGAUUACAACAUUAAAGUCUAUUCAGGGAUGCUUGCUCAGUCUUGUUAGUUUGAUGCACUUGUAGUGAGAUUAUCUACUUGCAUCUUUAAAAACACUGGGAUGAACAUUAUUAGUUACUGUAUUGGAUACCUCACAGCUUACCUUUGAAGCCAGUCACUGUGACGAGAACCACCUCUGCCCAGCUGUAAUUUGACAGUGCCUCAUCUCAGCUGCCCUACCUGCUUCUUGCUUUCUGCCCAGGGCCAUUGGGAAAAUCUGUUUACUCCCUGCACAUGUACAGUUUGGAAGUAUGAUUGGGCAUGAUGCCCAGGAGAAUAACCCGUGACCAGUGGCGGCAAAGAACUGAAAGAUAAAUGGUCUUCCUUUCCAUCUUUAAAGUGGGUAAUUGUGAGGUGUACUCUAAGCAGCUUAAAAUCCAGGGUGGUCACUAAUUUGAUAAUGCCUCGUUUACUGGUGUAUUUUUCUUUCCUGUUUCACUCUUCUCAGUUCCUUUCACCAACCCUGGCUAGAGUGAUCCUGGAGUAAUGUUGUUUCCUGAGAUAAGUUCUUGUCUUAGUGUGAAUUUCCCCACAACUAGUGCCUGAAACAGGGUUUGAGUGCAGUUAAUUUAUUUGGGGAAUGAUAUUAGGAAAGGCCAUUAGGGGAAUGUUUAAACAGAGACCUGAAGGUGGGGAGGGAACAAGCAUGAGGCUGUGGGGAGAGCACAUUUCUGACAGAUCAGUCAGCAUAGGACUGUACUUGGUAGACUUGCUGUUCAAAGAGAGUAAGGAGGUCAUUGAGACAAGUGGAGUGAACAAGGAGCAGAGUGGUAGGAACUGAGGGCAAAGGAAAAGAAGUGAGAUGCAGGCAGAUCACACA